GGGGGGCUGGCGCAACGGUAGCGCGUCAGAUUCCAGUUACUUUACUUGGAAUAACCUGAAGGUUAUCGGUUCAAAUCCGGUGUCCCUCA